CAUCUCUAUAGGCGGAUUUCCCAAGACAUUGCGGGAAGCAGCCACUUAAGUGAAAAUGCUUCAAGCUCCAUUCCUGUGGCCCCAUCAUUUCCAUUGCUUUCACAAUCAAUGCCACCACCUCCAGGCCUUUCACCAAUGGAAUCUGACCUCACUAUGCCUCGGAGUUUAAAUAUGCUAAACCCAUCAGCGUUGUUGCCACAUUUGAAUCAACAGAUCAAAUCAACCAUGGGGCUGUCUCCUGAAGCGCUUCCUCCAGGCCUUUCGAGAAUGGAAUCUGACCUCAAGAUGCCUCGGAGUUUAAAUAUGUUAAACCCGUCGGCCUCAUUGCUACAUCUGAAUCAACAGAUGAAAACAACCAUGGGGCUGUCUCCUUCCCCUGAAGUGCUUCAAUUGGUAGCAUCAUGUGUUGCUCCGGGUCCACAUCUACC
rnacentral:lncRNA from 1 species